GCUACAGACGCGUGUGGAGGUCAACCCAAAAUGGGCACAGUCUCACCGCAGAAGAGUGAAAGAGGAUCCUGGCAGGGAGACGGUAGUGUCCUGCAGAAUGGUGAUGGGCCAAUCUUACAAGAGACCACAGAAAACUGAUAUAGUGAACUAUAGAAACAACAGUGCCUGCUGCAGUAUAAUGAGGACACCCUGAGCAGAGAGCUCCAAUAGACCCAGGUCCAGUGUCUUGGCAGGGUGAAAUGGCACUGAUAUGGUGUCCUGCAGGAUGCUGUGUCCUGCAAUCCUGUGUGCUGUGCUACAGACGCGUGUGGAGGUCAACCCAAAAUGGGCACAGUCUCACCACAGAAGAGUGAAAGAGGCUCCCAGAAGUGAGACUGAGUGCCUGUUGCAGUAUGACGAGGACGCAGUGACCAGAGACCUUCAGUAGACCCUGGCUGAAGAACAUGAAAUCAAC